CGAAUGAGGAGAUUCAUCGUCAGCUUAUUCAGUAUUAAUGCAGGCUAUGAUGUGAUAAUAGAACCCUUGUGGUCACUAGAUUAUACUUGCUUGUAUUAUUUUUGCUGGGUAUGUCGGCGUGCACUUCUCCUCUAGUAGAACGUCGCAACCCGUUGGAUGUUUAUCUAUGGCUUGAAUGGUAGCCUUUGAUAUUUUUUAUAUUGAAGACCUUCGAUGUCCUGAUAAACUGUUUGACGGUAUACAUAUGGUAUUGAGCCGCAAUUAUUUGCGUUAGACUUGCCGCAAGUAUGACUUUAUUCUAGUAGUGCGGAUCUAAUGCCGUCGCUGGACAAAGUCUGCUGUUAGCUGUGU
rnacentral:rRNA from 1 species